CAGAGCUGCAAAACUCCAACCCUUGUUAACCUACCUAUCAGUUUCCUCGGCGGGGCUCGCCUAACGCGACCCUUUGAGGGGGCGGACCGCCGGAGGAAUACAACUCUUGCAUUAUUAUGGCUCUGUGAGUAUACUUAUUCAAUAAGUUA
rnacentral:misc_RNA from 1 species